rnacentral:rRNA from 1 species
CCUACGGGUGGCAGCAGUGGGGAAUAUUGCACAAUGGGGGAAACCCUGAUGCAGCGACGCCGCGUGAGUGAAGAAGUAAUUCGUUACGUAAAGCUCUAUCAGCAGGGGAGAAACACUGACCUUACGGUCAGCAGACGGUAUCUGAGUAAGAAGCCCCGGCUAACUACGGGCCAGCAGCCGCGGUAAUACGUAGGGGGCAAGCGUUAUCCGGAUUUACUGGGUGUAAAGGGAGCGUAGACGGUGCGCCAAGGCUGGAGGGAAAUGCCGCAGCUUAACUGCGGGACUGCUUUGGAAACUGGCGAACUAGAGUGCGGGAGGGGUAAGCGGAAUGCCUAGUGUAGCGGUGAAAUGCGUAGAUAUUAGGCGGAACCCCGGUGGCGAAGGCGGCGUACUGGACCGUAACUGACGUUGAGGCUCGAAAGCGUGGGGAGCAAACAGGAUUAGAUACCCUUGUAGUC